rnacentral:sRNA from 1 species
AGUUGCUCCGGCGGCGCGCGGGAAGGGAGCCAGCAGCCUAGGGCCCAGGCCCGGGCCACCAUGGCGCUGCCUCCGGGCCCAGCCGCCCUCCGGCACACACUGCUGCUCCUGCCAGCCCUUCUGAGCUCAGGUUGGGGGGAGUUGGAGCCACAAAUAGAUGGUCAGACCUGGGCUGAGCGGGCACUUCGGGAGAAUGAACGCCACGCCUUCACCUGCCGGGUGGCAGGGGGGCCUGGCACCCCCAGAUUGGCCUGGUAUCUGGAUGGACAGCUGCAGGAGGCCAGCACCUCAAGACUGCUGAGCGUGGGAGGGGAGGCCUUCUCUGGAGGCACCAGCACCUUCACUGUCACUGCCCAUCGGGCCCAGCAUGAGCUCAACUGCUCCCUGCAGGACCCCAGCAGUGGCCGAUCAGCCAACGCCUCUGUCAUCCUUAAUGUGCAAUUCAAGCCAGAGAUUGCCCAAGUCGGCGCCAAGUACCAGGAAGCUCAGGGCCCAGGCCUCCUGGUUGUCCUGUUUGCCCUGGUGCGUGCCAACCCGCCUGCCAAUGUCACCUGGAUCGACCAGGAUGGGCCAGUGACUGUCAACACCUCUGACUUCCUGGUGCUGGAUGCGCAGAACUACCCCUGGCUCACCAACCACACGGUGCAGCUGCAGCUCCGCAGCCUGGCACACAACCUCUCGGUGGUGGCCACCAAUGACGUGGGUGUCACCAGUGCGUCGCUUCCAGCCCCAGGGCUUCUGGCUACCCGGGUGGAAGUGCCACUGCUGGGCAUUGUUGUGGCUGCUGGGCUUGCCCUGGGCACCCUCGUGGGGUUCAGCACCUUGGUGGCCUGCCUGGUCUGCAGAAAAGAGAAGAAAACCAAAGGUAGGCCAGGGACACUGGGGGCAGUGUGGAUGAGGUCAGGCUGAGCAGCAGCCAAGACAGCAAGUGCAGCU